ACCUCCCCCUUCUCUCUCUCUCUUCCUCCUCCCGCCAUGUGAGACGUGUCUGCUUUCCCUUUGCCUUCUGCCAUGAUUGUGUCUUUUAACAGAAACACACAUAAAACAAGCUUAUGUAUUGAUUGGCUGAUGAGAAUGGGACCAGAGGCUUUCAGGAGAUUCACCAGAGGAGUGAUGGUUCGGGACUCACUGACUCAAUGUUGGCAGUGACUUGAUGGAACAUAAUGACAGUGAGGAGCUGCCGUCACUUUAGGAUAUCUCUUUCCUCAUCCUUUCCGUCUGCCUCAUUGAGCUGCCAACUCACUGCUGAGUCAGCACCACCCAGCAAAGAUAUUCCCAGAUCCUGGACUUUCAGAAAUGGUGUGAGAUCAUCAAUAUUUGUUGACUAGGCUGCUAAGUGUUUGGUGACUUUGUUUCGGAGCCAUAGAUGGCUGACACGCAGGCUUCAUCCACAGAAGCAGGAGGCUGCACUAAAGACCAUGCUGGAUCCCUCGGCUGCUGGUCCUGGGGUCCUGUUGCACUCACCCUGUUGGCGUGGUCUCCCCUCUGGAGCCUGACCCUCUGCCCAUCACCUGUAGUGUCUGCAACGCAGGGAAACAGCUGGGCAGGGUUUGUUAGAGACAGCUGCUUGCGGGAGGGAUGGGACUUCCUCUGCAGGCACAACACUCAUUGGCACUGCUCGGGGACUCCCAACUUUCAGAAUUCUGAAGGCAACCCACAAAUAGGUUGAGAAUGUUAGUAUUUCCCCCAAUUUAACAAAAGUAGAAAUACCAAGUGGAUACAAUACAAAAGCUUACAACUUAUUAUUUUUUUUUUUUUGAGACAGAGUUUCGCUCUUGUGGCCCAGGCUGGAGUGCAAUGGCACGAUCUCAGCUCAUGGCAACCUCCGCCUCCCGGGUUCAAGCAAUUCUCCUGCCUUAGCCUCUCUAGUAGCUGGGAAUACAGGCAUGUGCCACCACACCCGGCUAAUUUUGUAUUUUUAGUAGAGACGGGGUUUCUCCAUGUUGGUAAAGCUGGUCUGGAACUCCUGACCUCAGGCGAUCUGCCUGCCUCAGCCUCCCAAAGUACUGGGAAAACAGGCGUGAGCCACUGUGCCCGGCCAUUUUGUCUUCUUCAUUAUUCUCUUCCAGAUAAGGUUUCUGGCUGCAUGAAUACCAUUGCCCCCCUUUCACCUCGAAACUCAAUCGCAUAAACACUUUUGAUUCAUGUUUAGCCGGUGGUUAUUAAGGGAUCUAAGUCUUCUUGCCUCACCUUUCAUGGAGAAUCCCUUCUUGGGCAGAAUGAGGCUGGCCUGAGUGCCCAUCUUCACAGAACUAUUUUGGCCUCUCCUUCCACCACUAUCUGGGUGUAGUGAGAACGAAGCUCCGGCUUCUCAGCAAUGGUGGUUGGUGUUUAAAAACCUUCAGUUGGUUUCAGGACAGGCACUGCCGGAGCUCCACACGAAGCUCUGCAGCCACGCCCAAGGGCAGCCUGUUCUGUUGGCCACACAGGGCCCUGCGUGUCACUUGUCAUGUGUAACAAAUCUCCCAAACAGCAGCCGGCAGCACCCCAAACCCACAGGCCCGCUUGGCCACCACAUUCAGCAGCUGUUACCUUUGCUCAUCAAUGGCCGUUCAAACGGCUGCCUAUUGAUCGUGGGCCUAGAAAGGCACAGCUGAGCUCGUUCAAAGACGUUUGUCACGGAGCCACAGGUUUCCAUCUUGACCUUCUUGCCCUGGUUUUCAUUCCUCCUUCUCUUCUCCCACAUUCCUCCGACUCUCACUUUUGUUUGCAAACCUCUGGCAAAAUGCAGCGUCAUUCUUUUUAGGUCGUAACAGUCAUGGUGGCCGUUGUGCUCCAGCUCUCAGGACACGGGGUCAAGGGCAUGGAGGUCCCUUCAGGAGUUGGGGGAGGCUGGCUCUCCGCCUGUCCACGUGGGCAGGUCAAGGGAGUGGAGGUUCCGUCAGGAGUGGCGGGAGGCUGGCUCUCCACCUGUCCACCUGGGCAGAUGAAGGGUGCAGAGGCGCCUUAAGGAGCGGUGAGAGGCUGGCUCUCCGCCUGUCCACUUGGGCCGAUGCUAUCUCCGAGCUGCAGCCUCAAAUUGGCUUUGUGCAUCUCAAGGCUGGGGAGGAGCCUGCAUGGAGGUGCCAGUGUCUGUGCAGGGGCCACGGGAUGCUGAGCUCAGGGCUGCUGUCUGCACCCCUUAAAUGGAAGAAUGGAGUGCUGGGGAAACAGGAUGGGCUGUCUUCCUGGAGAAGAAGAACUGGAGACCACAAAUCCUGUUAGAAACCACGGACUGUGGACUUUAGAGGCCACACAGCCUCAGUUGCAGGGGUGACAGUAAAUCUGCUCUUUUAAAAUCCUUUAUCUUAAAAAUUCUCACGCACAUCUAAAUGUAAAGAGAGAAGGAGAGCGAAUCCAUCGUCCAGGCUGAAAAAUCAGCCACAUCCUGCUACCCUGCCUCCAGCUGUGUCCCCACAUGCUUUAAAAUAAAUCACAGACAACAUGUCAUCUCUUCCACCUAUUUCGUGUCUCUAGCAAAUGGGUUCUCUUCUUCACAUCACCGCAGUGUAGUCAUUUCACCUGACAGUUAGUGAUGAUUCCCUAAUGUCAUCCAAUACCCAGUCCGUGUUCACUUUCUCUGGUGGCCUCUGAAGGUUUUU
rnacentral:lncRNA from 1 species